rnacentral:rRNA from 1 species
GUGGGGAAUAUUGGACAAUGGGCGAAAGCCUGAUCCAGCCAUGCCGCGUGUGUGAAGAAGGUCUUCGGAUUGUAAAGCACUUUAAGUUGGGAGGAAGGGCAGUAAGUUAAUACCUUGCUGUUUUGACGUUACCGACAGAAUAAGCACCGGCUAACUUCGUGCCAGCAGCCGCGGUAAUACGAAGGGUGCAAGCGUUAAUCGGAAUUACUGGGCGUAAAGCGCGCGUAGGUGGUUUUGUAAGUUGGAGGUGAAAUCUCCGGGCUCAACCUGGGAACUGCCUCCAAAACUGCAUGACUAGAGUACGGUAGAGGGUAGUGGAAUUUCCUGUGUAGCGGUGAAAUGCGUAGAUAUAGGAAGGAACACCAGUGGCGAAGGCGACUACCUGGACUGAUACUGACACUGAGGUGCGAAAGCGUGGGGAGCAAACAGGAUUAGAAACCCGUGUAGUCC